CCUACGAGAGGCUGCAGUGAGGAAUAUUGGUCAAUGGUCGGGAGACUGAACCAGCCAAGCCGCGUGAGGGAGGAAGGUACAGAGUAUCGUAAACCUCUUUUGUCAGGGAACAAAGGCGGGGACGUGUCCCCGGAUGAGUGUACCUGAAGAAAAAGCAUCGGCUAACUCCGUGCCAGCAGUCGCGGUAAUACGGAGGAUGCGAGCGUUAUCCGUAUGUAUGUGGUUUAAAGGGUGCGCAGGCGGUCUGUUAAGCCAGCGGUCAAAGCCCGGGCCACAACCCCGGCCCGCCGUUGAAACUGGCAGUCUCGAGUUGGAGAGAAGUAUGCGGAAUGCGCGGUGUAGCGGUGAAAUGCAUAGAUAUCGCGCAGAACUCCGAUUGCGAAGGCAGCAUGCCGGCUCCACACUGACGCUGAGGCACGAAAGCGUGGGUAUCGAACAGGAUUAGAUACCCCUGUAGUC
rnacentral:rRNA from 1 species